UAAAUCCUAAAUAAAUCUUAAUCUCUAAAUAAAAUCCUAAUCAAAUCUUAAAUUCUAAAUUAAAUCCUAAUCAAAUCCUAAAUCAAAUCUUAAUCAAAUCCUAAUCCUAAAUCAAAUCCUAAUCAAAUCCUAACCAAAUCCUAACCCUAAAUCAAAUCCUAAUCAAAUCUUAAUCAAAUCUUAAAUACUAAACCAAAUCCUAACCAAAUCCUAAACAAAUCCUAAAUCCUAAAUAAAAUCUUAAUCAAAUCCUAAAUC
rnacentral:lncRNA from 1 species